CACCGCGGUUAUACGAGAGGCCCAAGCUGAUAGACACCGGCGUAAAGCGUGGUUAGGAGAAUUAACACGAUUAAAGCCGAAUGCUUUCAAAGCUGUUAUACGCAUACGAAGGCUAGAAGUACAACAACGAAGGUGGCUUUACAAUUUCUGAACCCACGAAAGCUAAGGCA
rnacentral:rRNA from 1 species